UUAUCCUACAUAGUAACUUUUUUCUGGAGAGGCGAAGCACCUUAAAACCAAAUAAAUUUAGUAUUUGGAGAAAAACUCAAUUAUAUUAGAAUGCGUCAUUUGUUCUCUUGAUGGUGUGAGGUUGCUGCUGCUGUUGAUAACCUAAUGCUUGCCCAAUAUUCAUGUCACAAACCUGUCCUUUCUGAUAGACUGAACCAUAUUCAGGUUACUCUUCCUUUUUGCCAUUACUUUUUUAGUUCGUGUUUUCUUGUAACUGCUAUGGUGGUUAAUUUUUCUGUAAGAUUAUGUGUUAAGAUUGACCUCUUGUAACUCCCUUUUGCUGUAACUAGGCUAACUGAAAAAAAUAAAACCCAAACCCAGAAAAAAUCUUUAUUUGUAAGUCAACCGUCUUCCUAGCUGAUUACACUGGUAUGAAAAGGGAUGGAUGUUACUGUAGUUUUUGUUUGUUUGCUUUGAAAAUCCAUGCUCUUUCCCACUAUUUUGGCUGUUACUGAGAGUUACAAAAGCAGCAGUUACCUUUUAUGCUCAGGAAUUUGCUUUUGUUUUUAGAGGAGAAUCUCUUGGUCACAGCAGUUCCUUAGCAUAUCCUUUAUUUUCCCCUCAAAAUGAAUUUUUGGCCAUUUUUAUCUUUUUUUAUGCUUAUUAUUUUGUUCUAGAUGAUGGUGAAAUUCAUAUGCUCUGCCAAAUUCAAUGAGAAAGGAAGAACCAGGUACACCUGGGGCAAGGACCAGUCUGCUGUAAUAUUACUCAAUUUCUCAAAACUCCUUCAUGUGAAGGCAAACAAAUAUAGUGAGCAGCUGUGUGUUUGCUCCCCAGUCACAGCCGCCUGCAUCAGCCAUGCAGUUAGUGUGCCCCUCAGUCGGAGCUGACAAGGCAUGUGCUAAGUGAACCUGACAUCACAAGCUUCCUCAAAGUGAUGGUGGAUACAAGACUUGUGCUGUGUCUGGAAAGAUAGGUCAGCCUAAAAGUUUCCAGAGCAUUUAUCUGCGAGUGUGUACCCACAAGCGUCAGCACCACUGUCAGGCUGCGAACUCUUCUGUCAAGUUCCUGCUUUGAAGAACAAAACAGAACCCCCCCCAAAAAACCUAGAGGAGUCAUUUCUGAGUUAGCAUCUGGAAUAAAGGAAUAACGUUGUGGCUUCUUUUGGAGUUGCUUGACAUUCCCGGAGCUACUCCAGGAGGGGGCCCAGAAAACAUGGGACACCCCUCUCUCACUCGGGUCCUGAGGCUGCUGAAAAGAGGAGGACUCAUUUAACAAGGAAUUAUGAGGGAGUAAUGCGACUGAAAGCCAGCUCUUGUGGCCUUCAUGGAUGAGCACGACAUUUUGACAGAGAAGAAAGCACAGGAGUUUCAACCUGGCUGCUCUCAGGAUGUGCUAAGCAGGAAGCACUGGAAAACCAGCCCGAGUCCAGACUUCU